rnacentral:rRNA from 1 species
UACGUAGGGGACCAGCGUUGUCCGGAUUUACUGGGCGUAAAGAGCGCGCAGGCGGUCGUUCAAGUCGAGUGUGAAAGCCCCCGGCUCAACUGGGGAGGGUCACUCGAUACUGAUCGACUUGAAGGCAGGAGAGGGAAGCGGAAUUCCCGGUGUAGUGGUGAAAUGCGUAGAUAUCGGGAGGAACACCAGUGGCGAAGGCGGCUUCCUGGCCUGUUCUUGACGCUGAGGAGCGAAAGCGUGGGGAGCAAACAGG